GAGAAAGAGAGAGAGAACGAGAAAGAAAAGGACAGGAGACAAUGGAAAGAGAAGACUUGUAUUAUUCUGGAUACCCUUUUCUUCCCACAGCUGUAGGUCUCUUAUAGAGCCUCCAAGAACAUAACAAGGAAUAUGCUAACUAAUCGUAACAACAAUGAGGGAGGUUGUCCCCAAGACUUUACCCUUGAGGUCGUGACAAUCCCCUCCCGUUCAAACAAUUCUUGUCCCCAAGAAUUUACAGUGACGACUAUAGUUCAACCAAUCCCUUCUUUCAAUAUUUGCUGCCUCCUUUUCUCCUCUUACUCUAGCAGUGUUCACAGCCUCUAGCCAUUCUGCCGCUGCCUCGGCCCUUCCUUCAAACACAACAGUUUGUAUAGAAUGCAUUUGUGAUUUCUCCCCAAUGAUCGCCUUGCACUCACCCGUUUCCUCAUGGAAAACAUCUUCUUCUUCUUCUUUUUCAUCCAGUCCUUCCAUGUUUAGUAGUAGUCUUUUGCAUUGGUGGCUUGGCCAAAAGUUGUCUCCGCAUUUAUAGCACGAUCCUAUCUACCUCCUUUGCUUUGGCAUACGGUUUUUGACUGUGUUAAGAUUAGUGUUAACCUUGGGAAUUGCUUCCCAUCGCUGAUUGGUGGGAGGAUCAUUACUCAACGACACCAACAGUAGACUCUUGUAACUUUGCCUUCUCAGUUGCAUGUUUCACCGUUAUAGGCAUCAUCAUCUUAACCAUUGAUCUUAAUUUCUCCCUCAAUCCACUAAUAAAACUGGACACCAAGUAUUGUUCCGUUAAUCUUGGUUGCACAGUACACACAAUUGAUCUUAACUCCUCAAAUUUAGCUUGAUACUCCACCACUGACCCUUCUUGUUUUAAUUUGCUGAACUCCUCAAUUACAUCAGUCAUACUUCUUUCUCCAAAUCGUUCGCACAACCCCUCUAUCAAUUUUGCCCAGUUCCUAUUAUUUCCCUCAUCUUGGAUCCAUCCUUGAUAUCGAGAAUGGGUCGUAUCAUUUAAGUAGGCCUCAACCAAGUUAACCUUUUGUUCUUUCGACACCAUAUAGAAUUGGAAGAAUCUUUCGAACCUUCGAAUCCACCAUCUUGGUUUCAUUCCAUCAAACAUUAGAAUUUGCAAUCUUGGCAUAGGUGGGUGAUUACUAGAGAAGGGUUGGACGUUCCUAACCCACGCCUCUUGCUCCGCCGGUUGAUCCUCCACUUCAAGAACUCCCUGAGUUCUUGGAACACUGCCUUGGUGCGACAGAAUUGGAUCAAAAGCCUGUCGUGGAGGGAAAUCUAAGGACAACCGAAACUAGGGCAAUGAGGACAACAUGUUGAACACGGUGUUGAGCCUCUGCCCGUAUUGCUCCAUGGGCUCUUUACACUACUCCAAGGCCUCCCUAUUCUUCUCUGACUCCUCCCUUAGUGUUUCCCUUAUCACUGCCAUGUCUUCCCUUUUUUGGAUCAACGCUUCCUGGGUUUGCAACAUCCCAAAUUCUAAAGCUUCCAUCCUUACUUCCAAUUGCUCCCUUCUGGUGCCCUUCGCCAUCCUUCAAUCAAAUUGAAAACUCGGUCUUGAUCGCCUUUCUUGCUUUGAGGAGUUGCUGUCAGUCAAUUGUCGGCCUUGCUUUCGAGUUACACCUUAAGAUCGCCGGCCUCACUGACCUUCCUGUGUCUGCUUCUUACAACCACUUCCGUCAUUGCUUGCUUUGUCUCGAAUCAAACAAUCGCACCUUUAAGAUCGCCUACUAAUAGCUUCUAAAUUCAUUGGAAUCCUUCGUCGUAGUUACAAUGUAGUAGCUAUGAACCGUCACCUUCCUAAUUUCAACUUCUUGAGCCUUCAAGUUCGCCUACUAUCAGCUUCUAAAUUCAUUGGAAUCCUCCGCCUUAGUUACAAUGCAGUAGCUAUGAACUGUCUCCUUCCUUACUCGCUAGAAUCUCAAGUUGCAAUCGCUGGGAUACAUGCUCUCAGCUUUAAUCAAGAUCAAAUCUUGAACAUGCGCCCUUUCGCACCUUCCUUCGCGCUGAAAUCCUAGUGCAAUCGUUGGGGUUCCCACUCGCCUUGACCUGUUUUUUGCUUCGCCUUCAAGCGACGAACAAGAAGUGCCAAAAUUCAUAGGCGACAACUGCCUCACAUCAGUUGCCCAUGAUAAUCGCACACCCAAUCAUUGUCCAAUGAUUGUUAGAAUUCACCUAAAAUCUUGAAUCGUUCUUGGUUUCGUUUGGACUCGAAUCAGAAUGCUGCUUCGACUAAUAGCAGAGGAACAACCUCCUUUUACUAUGACUCAAUCAGUCCCUGAUCGAUACUCGUUCACCUUUGUUGUGGCUUCCUGAACACUGGAAAUCGCCUGGCUCGUCGGAAUUUGUUGCACUGAAUCGCCUUGGUCAAUUGCUAAAACUUUCAGAUCACAGUUGAGAAGUUGAGAAUUGUCAGCUCUGAUACCACAAAUGUCAAGCCCCAAGAAUUGGGGAUGAACAAUAUGAGAGAGAGAGAGAGAGAGAGAGAGAGGACUUGUAUUAUUCUCGAUACCCCUUUCUUCCCACAGCCGUAGGUCUCUUAUAGAGCCUCCAACAGCAUAACAACUUCUUCUAACAACAUAACAACAAGGAAUAUGCUAACUAAUCGUAACAUCAAAGAAGUAGGAUAUUGUACAGUUACCUAAUCCCCUAAUCACUUAACCCCCUAGCUGAUUGUUAAUUGUUGGUAAUAUUUACUGAUUUACCCUUGGGGUCGUGAUAGAAUGGAAUGAGGAACUUGGUUAUUGAGGGACAGAGGAGGGCAUUCGGUUAAUUAAGUAGCAUGUUGUUAAGACGUCAUCAUCCUAAUAUUGUAGAGGAAUGUGCAUAUGGAUAAGGAGUGCGCGUGCAGUCUCAAUUAUAUGAUGUUUCAUUAAAUAUAACCAUGUAGCGUGGGAAAAAUCAUCAGUGAAGGUUACAAAUUAACGAUAUCCUUAUUUUGCCAUAUGUUAGAAUAGAUAAUUGAAAAAGGAGAACUAACAUUGACUUGGCUUUGGAAAAAACUAUGACUAUGUUUCCCAAGUUGGAAAGACUCACACUCUAAAGUAGGAAGAUGAAAUAGAUUGGGAACCAUCUUCUUGAGAUGAGAUAGAGACAAGUGCCCUAGUUGGCAAUGGAUAUGUAGUGGUGAAGCAGUAGUCAUGUAGGCCCUAGUGAGGUAGGAUGAGACAUAUAGUAAAGUCCCUAAGAUUCAUGCCCUGUGUCGGUCAUGUGUCUGGUGCUCCAAUCUCGAACAAAAAUAGAAUUAGAAAAAAUUUUGUUACCCUGGAUCGAGGCUUGAGAACCAUCAAUAAAGGUAAUAGUAUGUAAAGGCCCAAGGCGUGAAGAUGUGAGAAGAGUGAGCAAUUACCAAACAUAUCAUUGGUAGGAUUCGAGUCAAAGAUCCAUGACUAAGAGAUGAUAAGGACUUCGUAAAACAAGUAGCUUGAUUACUAGUGUGAGCAAGGGAUGUGAUAGGUGGUUGUGUCUAAGUCAUUAUGUCGAAGAUGAAAUAGAGCACCAAUCACAUCAUAUAUAUGAGUGAUGUCACUUGUAUACAGCUCAUGGGCACAAGUCCAUAGGGCACUACACUCACGAAGAGAUUGAAAAAUAGGCAUCUAAGUGGGCUUAACAGUCUGCCACAUCAGACUAAGUAACUGCACAUCCACCUUUUGCCAAAGAGAGCGAUUAUUCUCGGGAACGGUUGAGAUGGUAUGUGUUAAAUGAUCUUCAAGUCCAUGCCCAAGAAACCAAAUUUCCACUGCUGCAGACCAUGCAAAAUAAUUGUUCCCAUUCAAAUUUUCCAUGGUAAUAACUGGCGUAUUCGAGAAUUGGGUAAUGGUAACAGUUGAUGUUGAUGAGAUAGGUGUGGAUGGAGACUGGAGUUGACGAAGAGAUGACGAUGAUUACAAACCCUAAUCUGAUAAUCAGCGAGAGAGCCAAAAAUUAAGUCUGAAAAUUGCCUAGAAAGCAAGGGAUUGCAAACUUGCAAGCAGAUUUGCAGUUGCGAAUCAGAUCUGCAAGUCUUCAGACCAUCGGAAGGCACAGCGAACAGAGCGGUGAGCAGCCCCGGUAAAGUUGAUGGCAUUGGAGCAGCAAAGUAGAUCUGCAGGCUGGAAGCAGUCGGGUGAGCAGCAUCGGUGAGGAGAUCGACGCCAAUGAAGUCGACAGUAUUGGUGAGCAACAAGGCAAAUUGCAGGCGUGACGCACUGGGAGUUGUGGAGAGAAGCACUGGUGAGGUCGACCACAACAGUACUAGUUAGGGUUAGGGGUUUGGCUCUAAUACCAUGUGGAGGAAUAAAAUAAUAAUGUAAUUCUCUAAAAUGUAUAGACAAGGUAUAUACAAGAGUGUACUAAGUACCCUAAUUACAAUAAUACCCCUUGCUAUAAAUUUAUGCACUUAAAACAUUAAUCCUGUAACAAAAUCUAUUAAAAUUUGAAAUUCAAAAUCCUAAUAGUAGCAUAAUAAGAUAAAUGGUGGGCUAAGCUUGAUGCCUGCGCCGACUUCCCAAAAAGGGGAAGAGCUUGGUAUCAUUGAAAAUAUUGUUUACCAUUGUACAACUUCAGUGUUAAAACCGAACACUGAUAUUUUGCCCAACACUCACUCAAUGCUCACCAAAUCAAUCACGACCCAUUCACAGAAUAGAAAGUAAAGAAACAACAGAAUUUAACAGAGAACAGAAAAUCAAACCACAAGAUGAUGCACAAUGAUUUAUCCUGGUUUAUGCCAUAGAAAUGGCACUACAUCCAGCACUCCAUCGAGAGAACAAUCCACUAAAGAAAUCCAGAAAUCAGUACGAGAUAUCACUCACUCGCCUUUUCUUUAUCUCUCGAGUACAAUACUCACAAAAAGACUCCAAGAACUAUUCUAAUCACAACUCUCUCUCUUUUCUCACUGCACUCGAAUAAGAGAAUGGAAUGAUAGAAUGAUUGAUUGAUUAUCGUUGCUGGUCGCCUUG